UACGUAGGGGGCAAGCGUUGUCCGGAUUUAUUGGGCGUAAAGAGCGUGUAGGCGGCCAGGUAGGUCAGCUGUGAAAACUCGAGGCUCAACCUCGAGACGUCGGUUGAAACCGUAUGGCUAGAGUCCGGAAGAGGAGAGUGGAAUUCCCGGUGUAGCGGUGAAAUGCGCAGAUAUCGGGAAGAACACCUAUGGCGAAGGCAGCUCUCUGGGACGGUACUGACGCUGAGACGCGAAAGCGUGGGGAGCAAACAGG
rnacentral:rRNA from 1 species